GACAGAGGCCCCGAGCGUUAAUCGGAAUCACUGGGCUUAAAGGGUGCGUAGGCCGGUCCGCAAGUGCUUCGUGAAAGCCCACGGCUCAACCGUGGAACAGCGGGGCAUACUGCGGAUCUUGAGGAAGGUAGGGGCCGCGAGAACAGUAGGUGGAGCGGUGAAAUGCGUAGAUAUCUACUGGAAUGCCGAUGGUGAAGACGCGCGGCUGGGCCUUUCCUGACGCUGAGGCACGAAAGCGUGGGGAGCAAACAGG
rnacentral:rRNA from 1 species